GAUUACAACUGAAAAUGUCAUCAACAACAAAGUUGUAUAACUCAUCAAUAUCUAUAACAUUUAUUUUGGUCAUUACUUAAUCCGGUAAAGUGAUAGUAACAUUGUUCACAAAAUUUACAUAUCUCUCUUAUUAUUUAUAAACUAUAUAAGAGAUAUGUACAUUUUGUGAACAAUGUUGCAAAUUGCUUUGUCGGAUGAAGAAAUGACCUAAAUAAAAGUUAUAGAUAUUGAUGAGUUAUACAACUUUAAUGUUGAUGACUUUUUCAGUUGAAAUC
rnacentral:pre_miRNA from 1 species